AAUUGAGGAGUCCUCCUCCGAAGAUCUCGAUUUGGAGACUUGGCAUUUCUGUAUGGUAUCAGCGCCGCAGCCAUGCCCGGAUGCCAGGCGUGAGGACCCCCUUCGCGUGGAGUCCUAUGAAUCCUGGGUCACCAUUGAUAAUCUAUCGGAAGACGGGAGCAUGGACAUACUAUGGAGCCAGCUGUCCCAGGG